rnacentral:misc_RNA from 1 species
GCUCCUGGUGCUGGAGCAGCUCUACCUUCUGAACGAAGUGUAUUCUGUUCUAUAAUUCUAGUUCUCUCUCACUCUCAAUGUGUGUGUUUGUGCCUGUUCCUUUUUCCUUCUUCUUCUCUUUUUUCCUUUUUUCGUAGUCUUACUGUAGUAGUGCUAAAGGAGAAUAAUCUCAUCAUCGUCAUCUCGUCGUCCCCUUUUUCCUCUCUUCUACUGCUUUAGCUCUAGAAGUUGUGGUGGGAAUCAUCACCAACUGGUUGGGACUACUUGAAGAAGUGUGUGUGAGUGUGAGUGUGUCUUGUACAUACAUACUGCAACAGUUACGUAGAGUGGGAGUCGGAAUACUACUACUGCCACUACUUAGUAUUUAGAGCCAGAAUCGCAUCCAGGAGUAGUCGUCAUUCCUCAUUGAGCCAUCGUGUUGAACCCGCAAAUUUGGAUCGAACGGAUGGAUCGGCGUGGAAUGUAGAGCGUGCGGAUAAGUUGGAAUCCUCCUCUUGUUGUCGUCUCUGUUGUUGCCAAUUGCCGUUGGGAGCUCGUCGCCUCUUGGUUGGAGCCUCUAGUUUGUGUCGCGAGGGCUCUCCUUGUGCCUCUUCCCUCCCUUCUUCUUGCUCCUCCUCCUCUUCCAACUCCUCCUCCUCCUCCAAAAUGUCGCAUCACGUGACCUUCACUCCCAUGGAAUACGCUGCUGCUGCGGCAGCCGCCGCCGCCAACGGAUCAGCCAACAACAACGGAAACAUUGAAAUGAUGAUCAUGCCACACCCCCGCCCCAUCAUCACCCUCAACAACCCACUUGGGCACCUCAUCAUGCUAACUAUUACGCGGGAGGACAGGGCCACUAUGCCACUCCUGCCACAUCCAACCCUGCGCAAACCAGUGGAAACUACAACGGUGCAUCGCAUUACCCACCCCCACCGCCGCCACCUCAAGCAGGAGCACCCACUGCUGCUUUUAUGACCUAUGAUCCCAUGGUCGUCAUGCAGCAACAGGCUUCACCCCAACAGCCACCUCACAUCUUCAUGUCUGCGACUCAACCCAUGCAGCAGCAGCAACAGCAGCAAGGGCCUCCUCAUCCACAAGAAGCCACUAAUUCUUCUAUUGAGUCCUCUCCUUCUUCCUCCUCUGGUGGGGGAUCCUCACAGCCUGUGAAUGGCAUCCAUACUCCUGCACCACCUCCUAUUCCUCUUGAAAAACUCAAAGAGUUGCUACUUAAUCAACUUGAGUACUAUUUCAGUCGGGAGAACCUCGCUCACGAUAAAUAUCUUAUAUCGCAAAUGGAUUCGGAUCAGUUUGUGUCCAUAUGCACGGUUGCUAACUUCAAUCAAGUUAAGAAACUGACAGCGGAUAUCGAAUUAGUGACGCAAGUCUUGAGAGAAUCCAACAAUGUCCAAGUAGAUGCUGAUGGUCUGAAAGUAAGACCCAAUCAACCACGGUGCACUGUGAUAAUAAGAGACACACCUGAGAAUACGACAAAUGAGGAGGUAGAGUUUAUUUUCAGUGGUGAUAAUUGCCCCAAGUUUGUUUCUUGUGAAUUUGCACAUAAUAAUUCUUGGUAUGUAACAUUUGAAAGUGACUCAGAUGCUCAGGAAGCCUUUAAAUAUCUGCGAGAAGAAGUUAAAGAGUUUAAGGGUACCCCUAUUUGUGCUAGAAUUAAAUCAAAACCGAUGAAUAGAAUUCCUCCUUCAUCUGGUGGUGGAGGACCACCUGUGUCAUCAUCUGCAACUGCAAUGAUAACUUCAACCUCUGCAGCUCCAGCAAUGAAGGGAAAUUAUCGUAUGUCAAAUAGUACAACUGUUGCGCCUGCACAAACUAUAACGAUGACAGUAAAUAGUCCUCAACCUCCUACUGUGCAAUAUCAGCAGCAAGUAGUACCAGCCUCCGGUUCUGCUCCUUCUUCUCUCGUUGCGGCUGUUCCUCAUCAGACUGUUGGAGCACCUACCACUAUCGGACAACAACCCCAGGUCUCAGCGACUGUUCAACUUCCUCCCCAAAAUUAUCCUUUCAAUACUGCCACUUCUCUAACUAACACAUCGACUAUAAUGCAACAUACUCCAACGUAUAAUGGCAGUCCAAUUGCAAUUUACUCUGUGCCGUCUUACUACUCUCAUGGAAUCAAUUUGCCAUGGUACCCUACCAAUCCUGUUUUCCCCAAUCAUGCACCUAUGUUCCAGGACAAUUCUGUUGCAUUUUCUCAAACAUCUUAUAAUAAGCCACUCACUAGUGGCAAUAAUUCGUCAAACUCUACUCCUGUUGGAAAUUCAGGAGUGAACAUACAACAAAAUAACUCUGGAGGACGAGGAAGUCAUAACUAUAACAAACCUCGUCGUGGAAGAGGUGGUUCCGUUGGAAGUGGUGUUAGUGAUAGGCCUGACCAAAGAGAACCCAGGUCUAGCUACGGAAACCAUGGCUACUACAAUAGUGGAGGAAAUAAUAAUAGUAUGGAUGAUAGUGGGUACACUAGUGGAUAUAAUUAUUCAAGUAAUUCACACUAUGGGAGGAAUAAUGCCUCGCGAAGUUGGGAUGGAAAUUCUUCAAAUUCAUCUCACAAGAAGUACAGUGGUAAUUCCUUGAAUAAUAAUCAAUCCCCUGCAAAUACUGGACCAUCACAUUCCUCCUUGCCAUCAUCCCAAGACCCGAAUAUCACUCCGGUAAAUGCUGGUGGGAGUCUUCACUCAUCUAAUUCGAACAAUGAUAAUGUUACUAUGUCCUCAAGAGGAGGAAAACCAGAUCAUCAUUCUGAUAAUGUGCAUCCAUCGUCACAUUACAAUCAUUUUGGGCAUCACUACACGAGUAGGUCUUCAAUAGAUUCUAAUUCUGGUAAAGAAGGUGGUCCUCCAGCAAGACGAGGAAAACCUACUAGAGGUGGCCGAGGUGGUAGUCGUGGUGGUGGUGGGAAUUCAGAUGAUCGAAAUAAUAGCCAUCAUCAAAUGAAUUCUUAUUCUGGUAGUGCUGGUAGCCAAAGAGGAAUGAGUGCCUAUGGUAAUAGUUAUCGUAGUGGUGUACAGGGUAAUAGCAGUGGAGGUGCAACAAGCGGUGGUGGAUCUGCUUCUUCAGAAUCUCAUCAAGUUCCAACUGUUGUACGGCCUCAACAACCAAGACCCGUAUUCGAAAUGAAGGGAAAUGAUUUCCCUGCGUUGCCAGGCUCAGGAGAGUCUGGUGUAUCCGUUAAGAACUUGGAAGUUGUUUCCGGCAAUGAAUCUGUUAAAGUGCCUGGUGGUGUAGUUGGAGUAUCAGGCUCUGUUGUACCUGGAAAAAAUAAUGUGAAUAAUGCAUCUGGCUCUGCUUGGGAAUCCAAUAGUAAUAGAUUUUUAGAUGUUGUUAAAGGAACUGCUAAAAUGAAAGUUUCAUCAUCAAAAUCGGAAGGGUCUGAUGAAGUCGUUCCUGUAAGUGCAUCCGAGCCUACACUAGCACCCAAUGUUUCUAACAACGCAAAAAGCGAAUCUAGUCACAAAGAGACCACGGAAAAUGUAAGCAAGUCCUCUCCCUCCACCUCCUCUGAAAGCGAACAAGUCAUGUCCUCAACUCCUGCCAAUAAGCCCACUGACAGUUUUAAUGGUGAAGUAGUAGGUCGUUCACACUCAAAAAUUACCCCUCCAAUUCCUGCAAACGAUUCCUCAUCUACUCGUACCGCCGCUGCCUCAUGUGAAGGAAAGCCUCCUCCGUUAUCAUAUGCACAGGUGAUACAAAAGAAAAAAGAAGAGAAAGAGGCACGGGAGGCUGCUGCCGCAGCUGCGGCUGCCUUGACGUCAUCUACUACAGCGGAGAAAGGAGCGAUAGAUUCUGUCAAUGCGCCUGCUUCAGUUUCGACUACUACCACAGUCUCCUCUACUGUCUCUAAAAAAACCACGAAAGAUGGUAUUAAGGCCGUUAACCAUGGCGGAAUUAACAAGGAAGAAAGAAAUAGUGCCAGCAAUAACGAUCCUAUUCGCAUUAAUAAUGGAUCAAUUAAACCUAAUAAUAACAAUAGCAAUGAGCAAGCUAAGUCAACGGCCAAAGUUAGUGCUUCAUCUACACCUACAAAAACUGUAUCACCUAAGUCAGCAACAAGUUCAGCGUCCACAGUAGUUAGUGCUUCAACUAACAACAACUCAUUAAAGAAAUCUUCAUCUGCUAAUACCAAAUGAAAAUAGUAUUUUUUUGUGGAUGCUAUUUAAAUAAUAAUAUAGAAGGAGAUUUUGAAGUGGACAUUUCUUGGAUAUCGUAUGAAUAAUCUUUAUUAUUCAGUGGUUUAGUUUAAAACUUCUUUCUUUAUAUUGCAUUGCUUGUCAUAUCGAAAACAUUUCCUUCUUUAUAUUCGUGGAUUAGCCUUAAUUAUUUAUUUAACUGAUAAAAGUGGUGAUUUUUGAAGUGCAACAUGUGUACUACUGUGGUGGAGCUGCUUCAAAUAGUCUUCAAACGAAGAGAGAUUUUUCAUUUUGCGUCCAUUUAUAAAAUUUUGAAGAUAUAGAGAAAUUGACUCUUUGAUUUAACCACUACUUCUACUACGACUAUCAGAUGUCUGAUUAGUUUUUUUUGUUAAAAUUUGAGGGAAAAACCAUAUGUAACAAGUUUGUGCGCUGGCAGUCUAAUAACUCAUUUUUAUUCAAAUUUCCUGUAUAAUUUAUGUAAGAAAAAAAUAAUGAAUAAUAUGAUGUCGCGUCGUCCCCUUGAAUGAAUCCCGUUUUCCCUUAACAUUAGCUAAAAAGUGCCUAUUUUCAUUAUAAUAUUAUCAUCAUCAAUAUUUUGUUUAAAUUAAAUUAAUUCUCAUAUAUACUCUACUCUAUAAACUCGUCUGUCCUAUCCUAAAGAUGAUACUGCGUUAGUUAAUCUUCAUGUUGUGGUGAAUAAAGCGCAGCAUCAAUCUAAAUUAAAUCUUAUUUUUUCGUUAAAACAUAGAAAUUCAAAAUACACACACAAGUGAACUAUAUUAAUGUAUGUACACAUUAAACAUUUAUAUAUAUUACAAAUAUGUAUAUAUAUAUAUAUUUGAUGAUAAUUGUGUGGUUAGAAGAAGGAGAAGAAUAAUCCCUUCUUUAACUUUUUUUUAAAAUAAAAAUAUUAAAAAACCACAUCCAACCCUAUGGUGCUCGCUCUCCUUUAUAUGUGUGAAUUUGUAUGUACAUUUGUAUGUUCACAAAUAAUUGCAACUUAUUUUUUGAAAAUUAUUGUGAAGAGAGAAUCCCACUCAAUUUCAAAAUAUUUACAUGUUGUGCAUUUGAUGAUUCUAUAACUAUUAUUAUUAUUACUAAAUACAUUUGGAAAAUAUAUUUCUUUUUUUUUUCUUUUCAUUUUUUUUCGAGAUUGUUAUUUUCAAAUUUAAUAUUAUUCCUCUCCUCAGAAGGAGACUUAAAGAAAUUAAGAAAUAAUAAUGUUUUUGCAUCAACAAAUAUUGUCAGAUUAAUCGUACUUUGAAUAAGUAAGAUUUCGUGUUCCCCUUGUUUUUCUUUCAGAAAAGGCUUGUUUUUUUUGCUACACUUUCUGAAAAAUAAAAAAUAAAACUCCCCUUAAUUAAAUACAAAUUUAAUUUCGUGAAAUGUAAUAAUACAGUUGACAUUUUUAUUAGUGUUAAUAAUAGACAGGAGUAUUGAAAAGAAGAUGAUUAGUUAUUUAUGAUACAAUAAUUAAUAGCGAAUUGUGUCUCUUCUUAAGUACACUCCCGCACACGCCUUUUUGUAUGACAUUAAAGAAAAAUGAUUAUUAUUAUCACAGGAUUAUUUUAUAAUGGUAAUCAUCUUCUAUUAUUAUAAUAUGACAAUUCUUCACCCCCCUACUUAGUUCAUCAACAACAAACAUUGUUUAUUAUUAUUUAAAAUAUAUUAUGAAAAUAACACGAAAAGAAUUUUUUUUAAAUAAAUAAUUGUAUUACUAAAUUAUUUUUUUUUUUUUACUGAAAAAAAAAAAAAAUGCUUACUUUAAAAAUGCUUUUUUAUAAAUCAUCUACAAGUUUUUUUUUGUCUUUUUUUUUUUCAAGAGUUGUGUUCUUCUCCCCUCUCCUCACUUUUUUAGGGGGGGAUAAAUAUUUUUUUCUUUCUUGCAUCUGUUAAAUUAUUAUGAUAAACAAAGCUUUGUUGAGUUUUCGCCCUUUUUGCUGAUAAAUUAAUGUUGUAGUCAUUCCCCUCCCAUCUUGACCAAACAACCACCCACUAAUUUUUUUUUCACAAUUAGCGUUGAUUAUAUUACGACUAUUUUUCGUUAUAUUUUUUUUUUUUUUUAACUUCCCUUUGAGCCAUCCUCAGGGUCGUGGUGAUGGUGGUGAUGUAAAACGCAUUUUUCUCUCGAAAAUAUAAUUUUUAAUAUUACACCAAAAUUUUUCACUUUUUUUUCCUUGUAUUUGUUUUUUGUUUUUUUCCGUUCUACUAUCAUCAUCUUUUGGGGAGAUUACUGAUGUGAAAAUAAUCUUUGAUUUUUUUUAGUAAAAAGAAAACUAUUUAUUACAUUUUUUUUUAUUCAAACCCAUUUUCCCCUAUUGUUAUCUUUAGUGUUUUUUUCUUGAAGGAGAAAAAAAUAUGUAUGAUAAUUGAAAUGAGAAAAUUAAUAAAAUUUAUGAAGAUAUAUAUUUAAA